rnacentral:rRNA from 1 species
UACGAAGGGUGCAAGCGUUAAUCGGAAUUACUGGGCGUAAAGGGUGCGUAGGCGGUUCGUUAAGUCUGUCGUGAAAUCCCCGGGCUCGACCUGGGAAUGGCGAUGGAUACUGGCGAGCUAGAGUGUGUCAGAGGAUGGUGGAAUUCCCGGUGUAGCGGUGAAAUGCGUAGAGAUCGGGAGGAACAUCAGUGGCGAAGGCGGCUCACUGGCUCAUACUGGACGCUGAGGUGCGAAAGCGUGGGGAGCAAACAGG